rnacentral:rRNA from 1 species
CGUAGGACCCAAGCGUUAUCCGGAAUCACUGGGCGUAAAGCGUACGUAGGCGGAAAUUUAAGUGAUAUGCGAAAUCUUGUGGCUCAACCAUAUAGACUGUGUAUCAUACUGGGUUUCUAGAGGAUGGCAGAGGCAAGUGGAAUUGGUAGUGUAGCAGUGAAAUGCGUAGAUAUUACCAGGAACACCAAUGGCGAAGGCAGCUUGCUGGGCCAUAUCUGACGCUGAGGUACGAAAGCGUGGGGAGCGAACAGGAUUAGAUACCCUGGUAGUCCACGCCGUAAACGAUGCAGACUAUUAGUCUGGGGUAUCGACCCCCUGGGCUGAGAAGCUAACGCGAUAAGUCUGCCGCCUGGGGAGUACGAGCGCAAGCUUA